rnacentral:sRNA from 1 species
UGCGACAGCCCAUAGGCUUGCCCCCCCGGGCAUUCGGGUGGACUACGAACACAAACUGAAGCCCUAGGACUUGUCGCCGGUUUGCGCUCUCGCCGAGGCACAGGCUGCUCGCGGACCACCCUGCUCCGAAAACUAAGAGGUAGGUGGUAGCCCAUUCAUCUGGUUACUGAUACUGGCCGGCAUCAGCGGACUGUCGGCAGGUCCUUGAGCAACUGGUGUGUGAAAUGGGACGGACGUCAAAGGACAAGCGGGAUGUCUACUACCGCCUGGCCAAGGAGAAUGGCUGGCGUGCUCGCAGCGCCUUCAAACUGCUACAACUGGAUAAGGAAUUCCAACUCUUCCAAGGUCCCUGACUGGUGGGCAGGUCACUGGGCGGUGAGGUGGGCACAGGAGGUAAACAAGUAGGCUGGGUCUGCAGAGCUCCCUGUGGUAGGUGGGCUGACUCAGAGGGUCUCUGGGGCAGGGAGACAGGCAGGAAGAUAGGCAGAAUACCGGAGAGGAGUUGGGCACCUGGGCAAUGGAGAUAUGUGGGUGCUCCCCAGGGGAGAGGGGUGAAUUUUGCAAGGGUCUCCAGGUUGGAGAAGUGGGUGCAGCUGAUCAGGAUGCUUUCACUAUGUAUGCCCAGGCGUGACACGGGCAGUUGACCUGUGUGCAGCCCCGGGCAGCUGGAGCCAGGUGCUGAGCCAGAAGAUCGGGGGCCAAGGGUCCGGCCACGUGGUGGCUGUGGACCUGCAGGCUAUGGCUCCACUACCAGGUGUGCUGUCCACUGCCAAGGAGAUCAUCCAGCACUUUAAGGGCUGCCCUGCGGACCUAGUGGUGUGUGACGGGGCUCCUGAUG